AUGCAGCCGGGCCCGACUCUGUUCACACAGUCCACCACCGUCCCUCACCAAAUCAUGAUCCUAGCCGGCGAGCGCACUCCCGCGUCAAGAUCCAUGGUGGAUCCACAGCACGCGGAGCAGAGGCACAACGGCGAGCAGGUGGGUGGCCAGUACGUCGAGCGAUGGCGACCACCACCGCCACGGUGGAUGGUUUCUGCUGGAUUUGGCCACCAUGGCAACAUUAUCCUCUUCUGCGAGUGCCUCGUGGGCAUGUUUGCCUCCAACGAGCAGAGGACGGCCAUGAGAUGA
rnacentral:rRNA from 1 species